rnacentral:rRNA from 1 species
UACGGGAGGCAGCAGUGAGGAAUGUUGGACAAUGGAGGCAACUCUGAUCCAGCCAUGCCGCGUGCAGGAAGACUGCCCUAUGGGUUGUAAACUGCUUUUAUACAGGAAGAAACACCUCUACGUGUAGAGGCUUGACGGUACUGUAAGAAUAAGGAUCGGCUAACUCCGUGCCAGCAGCCGCGGUAAU